GAUGAACGCUGGCGGCGUGCCUAAUACAUGCAAGUCGAGCGAACAGACGAGGAGCUUGCUCCUCUGACGUUAGCGGCGGACGUGUGAGUAACACGUGGAUAACCUACCUAUAAGACUGGGAUAACUUCGGGAAACCGGAGCUAAUACCGGAUAAUAUAUUGAACCGCAUGGUUCAAUAGUGAAAGACGGUUUUGCUGUCACUUAUAGAUGGAUCCGCGCCGCAUUAGCUAGUUGGUAAGGUAACGGCUUACCAAGGCAACGAUGCGUAGCCGACCUCAGAGGGUGAUCGGCCACCCUGGAACUGGGACACGGUCCAGACUCCUACGGGAGGCAGCAGUAGGGAAUCUUCCGCAAUGGGCGAAAGCCUGACGGAGCAACGCCGCGUGAGUGAUGAAGGUCUUCGGAUCGUAAAACUCUGUUAUUAGGGAAGAACAAAUGUGUAAGUAACUAUGCACGUCUUGACGGUACCUAAUCAGAAAGCCACGGCUAACUACGUG
rnacentral:rRNA from 1 species